rfam:Paenibacillus sp. FSL H7-0737, complete genome.
UCAUGAUAAUAGCAAACCGCCUGAAAGGGUGGGACGCAAAGUCCAGGAGUCUAAAGUGUCUUAAAUGCGCUAUGACCGUCCGACUGCCAUG